rnacentral:rRNA from 1 species
UACGAAGGGGGCUAGCGUUGUUCGGAAUUACUGGGCGUAAAGCGCGUGUAGGCGGGUCUUUAAGUCAGGGGUGAAAUGCCAAGGCUCAACCUUGGAACUGCCUUUGAUACUGGAGACCUUGAGUCCGGGAGAGGUGAGUGGAAUUGCGAGUGUAGAGGUGAAAUUCGUAGAUAUUCGCAAGAACACCAGUGGCGAAGGCGGCUCACUGGCCCGGAACUGACGCUGAGGCGCGAAAGCGUGGGUAGCAAACGGG